rnacentral:rRNA from 1 species
GGGCCCGCACAAGCAGUGGAGUAUGUGGUUUAAUUCGACGCAACGCGAAGAACCUUACCAGGGCUUGACAUAUACAUGAAAGUCUAAGAGAUUAGACCCCUCUUCGGAGCGUGUAUACAGGUGGUGCAUGGUUGUCGUCAGCUCGUGUCGUGAGAUGUUGGGUUAAGUCCCGCAACGAGCGCAACCCCUGUUCUUAGUUACCAGCGAGUUAAGUCGGGAACUCUAAGAAGACUGCCGGUGAUAAAUCGGAGGAAGGUGGGGACGACGUCAAAUCAUCAUGCCCUUUAUGUCCUGGGCUACACACGUACUACAAUGGCUGUAACAAAGGGAAGCUAAGCCGCGAGGUGGAGCAAAACCCAAAAAAGCAGUCUCAGUUCGGAUUGAAGGCUGAAAUUCGCCUUCAUGAAGCCGGAAUUGCUAGUAAUGGCAGGUCAGCAUACUGCCGUGAAUACGUUCCCGGGCCUU